GAAUUUAAUAAUAUUAAGUAAAAAAAAAUAUUAAAUAUUAUUUAGUUGGGAGGAUUGAUAAAUUAAUAAAACUUUAUUAGAAAAAUAAAAUCAUUAGUUUAUGGAAUUAAUGGAAAUAAUAUAAGUAUAUAAAUUAAAAUUAAUUACCUUAGGGAUAACAGCAUAAAAUUAUUUUUUAGAUCAUAUAAAAAAUAAUAAUUGU
rnacentral:rRNA from 1 species